CCCAGAACUCCUUCUAUCACCACUUCAAGCUCCAACAGGCAGAAAAAAAUAGCAUUGAAAGUUUGGUGUAUCCUCCUCAUUCUCCUCUUCUUCCAAACUAUUCCACAGCAACCGUGGCUACCGAAUCAUUGUACGGAGACCUGCUCAUGUUGAGGCAGAAGGUCCUGGCAGCCUCUGGUCAAAUGCUCUGAAGGAACUUGCGGAAAUGCGACGUGCAGAAACCAGAUCAAGCACAUUUGGAACUACACGUACAGAAUAAGAAAUCUGAAAACCAGCCGUAUCUGCUCACUGGUUUAUCUCUCCACGCUGAUUCACUAGAGACGUGAGGCGCUGGGUGCUUCUCAAACACCUCCACAUUCCAGUCUCUUCAGAAUGCAGCUGUAAGUGAUGCAGUGAGGCACUGAAUACCAUACCGCAGAGUUGGCAGCCGGAAUGCAGAUUUGCAUUAGUGACAAAGUUGUGCCAAGUCCCUCUUGGGUCCCUGGAUAUCCCGAGGCCAAUUUCAGGCGGGAAGUUCAGUUGGAAACAACCAGGAUUCUCACUCAUUUUGAAAGGUCUUCUCAUCCUGGGCCUUAGCUCCCUGCCAGAUACAAAUGGUAAGAGGGAAGAGAUUUGCUCACUUCAACUCUCACGAUAUAUUCGGU
rnacentral:lncRNA from 1 species